GACGAACGCUGGCGGCGUGCCUAAUACAUGCAAGUAGAACGCUGAAGGAGGAGCUUGCUCUUCUGGAUGAGUUGCGAACGGGUGAGUAACGCGUAGGUAACCUGCCUGGUAGCGGGGGAUAACUAUUGGAAACGAUAGCUAAUACCGCAUAACAGUAGAUGUUGCAUGACAUUUACUUAAAAGGUGCAAUUGCAUCACUACCAGAUGGACCUGCGUUGUAUUAGCUAGUUGGUGGGGUAACGGCUCACCAAGGCGACGAUACAUAGCCGACCUGAGAGGGGGAUCGGCCACACUGGGACUGAGACACGGCCCAGACUCCUACGGGAGGCAGCAGUAGGGAAUCUUCGGCAAUGGACGGAAGUCUGACCGAGCAACGCCGCGUGAGUGAAGAAGGUUUUCGGAUCGUAAAGCUCUGUUGUAAGAGAAGAACGAGUGUGAGAGUGAAAAGUUCACACUGUGACGGUAUCUUACCAGAAAGGGACGGCUAACUACGUG
rnacentral:rRNA from 1 species